rnacentral:piRNA from 1 species
UCAUGUUUGAACUGGGCUUCACAAGCU